rnacentral:rRNA from 1 species
CAGUAGCCACGGGAAAACGAGGGGUGCAAGCGUUAUUCGGAUUGAUUGGGUGUAAAGGGUGUGCAGACGGCUUAUUAAGUCACUUGUUAAAUUCUUCGGCCUAACUGAAGGUCUGCAAGUGAUACUGAUGAGCUAGAGGGUGGAAGAGAGAAGUGGAAUUCUCAGAGUAGCGGUAAAAUGCGUAGAUCUCGAGAGGAACACCAAUGGCGAAGGCAGCUUCUUGGUCCAUUCCUGACGUUCAUACACGAAAGCGUGGGGAGCAAACAGGAUUAGAUACCCCCGUAGUCCCUGUCUCUUAUAA